AUGUUGUCGUGGAUCCUCCGUGGCUGCCGCGACGAGUGCUCCGCCACUGACCAGCUCAAGCAGGCUCGUGAUGUCUUUGUGGCAAAAGAGGCAGUCUUGCAAAAGAAGAUAUCACAAGAGAUGGAACGUGCCAAGUUGUUCACAAAAUCAGGAAACAAGCAAGCAGCAAUGCAGUGCUUGAAGAGGAAAAGGUACUACGAGAGCCAAAUGAACCAGGUUGGAAGUGUCCGGUUACGCAUUGAUACCAAGGAAAAGAUGAUCGCUGAUAACAUGGUGAACAAAUAA
rnacentral:rRNA from 1 species